UCGGAGUGGCUUCACUUAGCUGAAAACCCAUUCCGAUCACACAUUUCCGUCCGUUGCAGUACAAUGCAGGGUGGAUCAACCAACCGUAGUGGGCUAUGGUCUUAAAUAUCAGGCUAGAUGCAGUUCCGAUGUGACAGCAGAUACGGAUCACACCAGUUUCCUCCCUGGUACUCUCGACGAAGAAAACGAGGUGCAUUUAAUAAUGAUUUCAUCGGUAAUGAAUUGAUCUGCGAAGGUUUAUUUUCGUAUCCGAAUGAAAUUUGAGACCUCGCUUCUCGUCCUUUUGAUUAACGGAUAUUGUCCGCUGUCUUCUCUUCGUGCGAAUCAUAUGAUAGAGCAGCAAUAUGGCAAAUUCCUGAGUUAUAUGGCCAGCAGAAUUCCCCACAACUUGAACGAAUUGCUUCUCUGGAUGCUCACACUUCAACGAUUAAAUGGCUGUUUUGUUUCAGGAAGCAUGAAUUUUAACUUCAAUUACAUUACUGCUCCUAGCUCGAAUAUCUCUUUGAUUUGUGAUAAAAACUAAAAGGAAGGAAAAGUUCAAAGAAAUGAAGAGGUACAAUCACAAGAAUCUGCCGGCAUGCUCCAUUAUUUAUCUGGUAUGUUAAUAUCGAAUCCAUAGCUCUGCCCAGUUUUGACUAGUAAACACAUUCAACUUGUUUUUGUCUUGAUGGUCAGCCGAGAGAAUUGUAAACUUGUGCAACUUGUUUUGUCUUUCCGAGUUUUAUAUAUGCCAUUUAAUUACUCGAUAGUAAGAUAUCAGUAUAGCUUGACAGUUAUCAUUUCACACUUCUUCUUUACCACCACAUUUGGUUGAUAUUUUGACAUUAUACCAUGUUACGGUGAAUGGGUGCUUGUGCUCAAUGUUCACAUUAACAUCUCUAGAACCUCCAAUUUUGA